AUGAUCAUGAAAAACUUGCAGAUCUCACAUGGUGCGCAGUUUCCUCACAUGGAUUUUGCACUAGUGAUUGGAAGUAAAAUGCUUUAAGAGAGAGAAGAGGAGAGAGAAAGAUUGAGAGAGCCAGCUGCCUUCACGGGCUUAUUUCUAGCAACCAUGCAGAAGUUGGAAUCUGGGGAAAUUGUCUUCUUGUGAAGCCCAUCUUGGGAGAGGAAAGGGCAGAGUAAGUCUUGUGGCCUUGGUAAGACAAACGGAAGGGCUCCUUCCUCAUGGUGUUUAGGAGCAUGGAGGAAAUACUUUACCCAUUUUUUUUUUUUUGAGGAAGAUUAGCCCUGAGCUAACAUCCGCCACCAAUCCUCCUCUUUUUGCUGAGGAAGACUGGCUCUGAGCUAACAUCCGUGCCCAUCUUCCUUUAUUUUAUAUGUAGGACACCUGCCACAGCACAGCUUGACCAGCAAUGCAUAGGUCCACACCUGGGAUCCGAACUGGUGAACCCCCGGCCACCAAAGCAGAACAUGUGAACUUAACCACCACACCACUGGGCCGGCCCCUGUUUGUAUUUUUUUUGAAAAGCCAAAAAGACUGCAUCUGACUACUUCCUGAGCACUGCCGAGGGUUCACCCAGUAUCUGAGUGAAAUGUCAGGCCUGCCCUAAUCCUGAAUAUUGUCAAGAGAACAGAGGGCUGAGGACACUGUGGAAAAGAUUUAGUUGUGGAGGAAGAAAGAGGCAAGGAAAAUAAGAACUCGAACACAACAAUGCUGUCAGUUUAAUCAAGGUUCGUGUGUACCACGGUUAGUCUCAGACAGCCCUGUGUGUGGUCGUGUCCAGAAUUUCUGGAAUGAUUGAGGGUGGGAACAGGAACUCCUCCUCCCCUCUCGAUGGCCAUCUCUCUGAGAGAAGCCGUUGGUUCGUCUUUGUUUUCCCAACACCCACCUUGAUCCCUGGCACUUGGUAGGUG
rnacentral:lncRNA from 1 species